rnacentral:rRNA from 1 species
UACGUAGGGACCAAGCGUUGUUCGGAUUUACUGGGCGUAAAGGGCGCGUAGGCGGCGUGGUAAGUCACUUGUGAAAUCUCCGAGCUUAACUCGGAACGGUCAAGUGAUACUGCUGUGCUAGAGUACAGAAGGGGCAAUCGGAAUUCUUGGUGUAGCGGUGAAAUGCGUAGAUAUCUGGAGGAAUACCGGUGGCGAAGGCGGCAUCCUGGACCGACAUUGACGCUGAAAACCGAAAGCUAGGGGAGCAAACGGG